GACGAACGCUGGCGGCGUGCUUAACACAUGCAAGUCGAACGAUGAACCCGGAGCUUGCUCCGGCGGAUUAGUGGCGGACGGGUGAGUAACACGUGAGCAACCUGCCCUUGACUCUGGGAUAACUGCGGGAAACUGUAGCUAAUACCGGAUACGACCCUCGGCGGCAUCGCCAGGGGGUGGAAAGAAUUUCGGUCAAGGAUGGACUCGCGGCCUAUCAGCUAGUUGGUGAGGUAACGGCUCACCAAGGCGACGACGGGUAGCCGGCCUGAGAGGGUGACCGGCCACACUGGGACUGAGACACGGCCCAGACUCCUACGGGAGGCAGCAGUGGGGAAUAUUGCACAAUGGGCGCAAGCCUGAUGCAGCAACGCCGCGUGAGGGAUGACGGCCUUCGGGUUGUAAACCUCUUUUAGUAGGGAAGAAGCGAAAGUGACGGUACCUGCAGAAAAAGCACCGGCUAACUACGUGCCAGCCGCCGCGGUAA
rnacentral:rRNA from 1 species